rnacentral:rRNA from 1 species
UACGUAGGGUGCGAGCGUUGUCCGGAAUUACUGGGCGUAAAGAGCUCGUAGGUGGUUUGUCGCGUUGUCCGUGAAAACUCACAGCUCAACUGUGGGCGUGCGGGCGAUACGGGCAGACUGGAGUACUGCAGGGGAGACUGGAAUUCCUGGUGUAGCGGUGGAAUGCGCAGAUAUCAGGAGGAACACCCGUGGCUAAGGCGGCUCUCUAGUACGGUACUGACGCUGAGACGCGAAAGCGUGGGGAGCGAACAGG